rnacentral:rRNA from 1 species
GACGAACGCUGGCGGCGUGCUUAACACAUGCAAGUCGAACGGUGAACACCGCUUGCGGGGGGAUCAGUGGCGAACGGGUGAGUAACACGUGGGCAACCUGCCCUCAGCUCUGGGAUAACUCCAAGAAAUUGGGGCUAAUACCGGAUAUGACCGCUGACCGCAUGGUCUGGUGGUGGAAAGAUUUAUCGGCUGGGGAUGGGCCCGCGGCCUAUCAGCUUGUUGGUGGGGUAGUGGCCUACCAAGGCGACGACGGGUAGCCGGCCUGAGAGGGUGACCGGCCACACUGGGACUGAGACACGGCCCAGACUCCUACGGGAGGCAGCAGUGGGGAAUAUUGCGCAAUGGGCGAAAGCCUGACGCAGCGACGCCGCGUGGGGGAUGACGGCCUUCGGGUUGUAAACCUCUUUCAGCAGGGACGAAGCGAAAGUGACGGUACCUGCAGAAGAAGCACCGGCCAACUACGUG